rnacentral:rRNA from 1 species
UACAGAGGUCUCAAGCGUUGUUCGGAUUCAUUGGGCGUAAAGGGUGCGUAGGUGGCGCCGUAAGUCAGGUGUGAAAUUUCGGAGCUUAACUCCGAAACUGCAUUUGAUACUGCGGUGCUUGAGGACUGGAGAGGAGACUGGAAUUUACGGUGUAGCAGUGAAAUGCGUAGAGAUCGUAAGGAAGACCAGUGGCGAAGGCGGGUCUCUGGGCAGUUCCUGACACUGAGGCACGAAGGCCAGGGGAGCAAACGGG